rnacentral:misc_RNA from 1 species
UUUCCGUAGGUGAACCUGCGGAAGGAUCAUUAUUGGACUUUGAAACUUCAGGCUGCUGCUGGCUCUCCUCGGAGGGCAUGUGCACGCUUGUUGUCCAUUAUUUCUCCCACUGUGCACAAAUUGUAGACCUUUCAGUAGGCCUAUGUUGUUUUUCACAAUCUCUGAAUGUAAUAGAAUGGUUUUGAAUCUUGGGAAAUACAAUACAACUUUCAGCAACGGAUCUCUUGGCUCUCGCACGAUGAAGAACGCAGC